rnacentral:rRNA from 1 species
CAGGGCUUGACAUCCUACUAACGAGGUAGAGAUACGUUAGGUGCCCUUCGGGGAAAGUAGAGACAGGUGGUGCAUGGUUGUCGUCAGCUCGUGUCGUGAGAUGUUGGGUUAAGUCCCGCAACGAGCGCAACCCUUAUUGUUAGUUGCUACGCAAGAGCACUCUAGCGAGACUGCCGUUGACAAAACGGAGGAAGGUGGGGACGACGUCAAAUCAUCAUGCCCCUUAUGUCCUGGGCUACACACGUAAUACAAUGGCGGUCAACAGAGGGAGGCAAAGCCGUGAGGCAGAGCGAACCCCUAAAAGCCGUCUCAGUUCGGAUCGCAGUCUGCAACCCGACUGCGUGAAGUCGGAAUCGCUAGUAAUCGCGGAUCAGCAUGCCGCGGUGAAUACGUUNCCC